UACGGGGGGAACAAGCGUUGUUCGGAUUUACUGGGCGUAAAGGGCGCGUAGGCGGCCAGCACAAGUCAGUUGUGAAAUCUCCGAGCUUAACUCGGAAAGGUCAACUGAUACUGUGCGGCUAGAGUGCAGAAGGGGCAACUGGAAUUCUUGGUGUAGCGGUGAAAUGCGUAGAUAUCAAGAGGAACACCUGCGGCGAAGGCGGCUCUCUGGGACGGUACUGACGCUGAGACGCGAAAGCGUGGGGAGCAAACAGG
rnacentral:rRNA from 1 species